AGAAACAUGUAUGCUGGAAGUUUUGCAGCUCCGGUUUCUGGGGCUGGCUAUGUUGGUUUAAAGGCCAAUUCUUCAAAUCUUUAUACUACUACUACUACUAACAUUGAAUGGUGCAAGAAAAAGAACAUAGUCUCCAAUGGCUCCAAAACUCACUGCAUGAAGGUGAGAAGAAUUCAUAUAUAUUUAUAUGUAUGAUUUCUAUAAUAUAUUAUAUAUAAUUUGCUCCCUUCUUGUUUUUUAAUUAAGAACAGACAUGGAAUCCAAUCAAUAAUAGGAAGUUUGAGACACUGUCAUACCUGCCUCCACUUUCAGAUGAGUCCAUUGGAAAGGAGAUUGACUACAUGCUGAAGAAAGGAUGGACUCCUUGCCUUGAAUUUGAUGAGGUAAUUAGUGUUUGUAAUACAAGUUGUCAAGAAUAAUAAUGCAUUUGCAUAUAUG
rnacentral:lncRNA from 1 species